UGCCGCCUCCUCCGCACCCAUGCACUACUCCUACGCCUUCCCGUUCCCUGGCUGCCCUCCGCACCCAUGCACUACUCCUACGCCUUCCCGUUCCCUGGCUGCCCUUUGCCCCAUUCCCUCCCCUCCGGCUCCCAGCCAUGGCGGCAGCGAGCGCCCGACUAUGGCCCAUGGGAGGCUGCCAGGCGCCAGAUUCGGCCGCCAUGGACCCAGAUUUGGCUGCAGCGGUGAUGGGGGCGUGAAGAACGCGGCCGAGGUAGGUGCGGCAUGGGGUGUGGCGGCUCCCGAGCAAGUCCCCCCCCCCCCCCCCCCCAAAACCCUAGCCCACCACUCUUCUCUCGCAGGCCACGGCAACGGUGCAAGCUCUCGGCUCCCUUGCGGCGGGGCGAGCUUGGAUCCCCGGCUUGUGCAACAUGUGGCGGCGGCCUCACUGAUUGGGAUGUCGCGCGGCCUGGCACACGGCGCUGCAGCCCCUCUUCGCAGCUUGGUGGCAGUGCGCCCGCUCUCCGUGAGCUGCGUGGAACUGGAGCUCGAGCUGCUCGUCACACAUGCACUCCAGCCUUGCCAUGCUGCAUGCAGGAAGGCAUGUGGCAUCUUUUCUUGGUUAAGCAGGAUGAACUGUGAUUUUGGCUUUCAAACUUUGCUAUCAGCAGGAACCUUCAUCUUGAAUGGAUUGUCACUUGGAAAUCAUCAACACAAGGAAGUGCAAUAUUUCCUGCCAAUAUUCCAAGAGUGGAGACAGUUGCAAGCAAAACACCAUCCUCUAAGGCCAAGCGAAGCCUCUCUCAAACCAACGAGAAAUUUAUUGCUCCACAUAACUUGAUGAAUGCUGUUGUUAAACUUAUACGGACUAGAAGCCAACGGGUAUGAAAUGCAAUUCUGAUUUCUAUUCAAUUUUUGCAAGUUUUCUAUUCAAACUUGACGAAUGCUGCUGCCAUUAACUUGUAUUUUACUCCUGAACAAGACAAAAUUAUCUUGCUGCUCGAAAAAUUACCUGUCAAUUGGCAUGUGUGUGUUUGGUCUAUCGAUGUGCAACUCUGAUGAGAUGAGGAUCUAUAAAGGGUUUUCUGAAAGUUUUAUCCAAGGGGAAGGAGAAGAAAAAGAAUCAUAUGAGGGCAUCGGUGAAGGGGUUGGCAGGCGCAACAGGUGACAGUGAUUCUAUGAAGGAUUUGGUUAAGUCACUAAUCCAUGGUACCAUAAAUGGAGAUAUCAUAGGUACUGAAAAAGAAGAGCCGAAUGAAAGUGCCAAGACAUUCUUUAAAUUAUUAACAGAGGAUACUUUGGAGAAGGUGCAAAAGGUAGUUUGUAUUAGUUAUUGCCACAAUUCUAUUUUGUAUUAAUACAUCUUAUUGCUACAAAAAAUGACUGAUACUAUAGUAGUUAAUAACAUCAAACAAUAUGUUGUUGCGACA